AGCGAACGCUGGCGGCAGGCCUAACACAUGCAAGUCGAGCGCCGUAGCAAUACGGAGCGGCAGACGGGAGAGUAACACGUGGGAACGUACCCUUUGGUUCGGAACAACCCAGGGAAACUUGGGCUAAUACCGGAUAAGCCCUCACGGGGAAAGAUUCAUCGCCGAAGGAUCGGCCCGCGUCUGAUUAGCUAGUUGGUGGGGUAAUGGCCCACCAAGGCGACGAUCAGUAGCUGGUCUGAGAGGAUGAUCAGCCUCACUGGGACUGAGACACGGCCCAGACUCCUACGGGAGGCAGCAGUGGGGAAUAUUGGACAAUGGGCGCAAGCCUGAUCCAGCCAUGCCGCGUGGGUGAUGAAGGCCCUAGGGUUGUAAAGCCCUUUCGGCGGGGAAGAUAAUGACGGUACCCGCAGAAGAAGCCCCGGCUAACUUCGUGCCAGCCGCCGCCGUAAUAC
rnacentral:rRNA from 1 species